UACGUAGGGUCCAAGCGCUAUCCGGAAUCACUGGGCGUAAAGCGUGCGUAGGCGGGUGCUUAAGUGUAAUGCGAAAUCUUGUGGCUCAACCAUAUAGACUGUAUUGCAUACUGGGUGCCUGGAGGAAGGCAGAGGCUAGUGGAAUUACCGGUGUAGGAGUGAAAUCCGUAGAGAUCGGUAGGAACACCAAUGGCGAAGGCAGCUAGCUGGGCCUUUUCUGACGCUAAGGCACGAAAGCGUGGGGAGCGAACAGG
rnacentral:rRNA from 1 species